rnacentral:lncRNA from 1 species
CCCUCCUUGGCAGCAAGAUGCUUGUCUUUUUACAAGGCCAGUGCUCUAACCCCUGAGCUAUGGAGCCACCUAAGAUGCUUGUCUUUUUAUAUUUACUCUGUAGCUAGACAAAAAUGAUAUCAACCACUUUUAAGGAUUUUCUAUUGUCAGUGACACUGAACACCUGCUAUGUUUGCUAGCCAUUGUUAUUUGCUCAAUAAUCUAUGUAUGUCUUUUAGACAUCUUUCAAGAUACUACUGCUCAGCUAAAUCCAUGCAUAAGAACUCUUCAUAUGUUAAGAAUUCAUUAUUUUACUGGCUUCAUUAAUUUUUAGAUAAAUAAUUCCUUAUUCUUUUUUAGUAGAUCAUCUUUUAGCUGAAUGACACACUGUAUUUAUUUAAACAGAAAUUUACAUAAAUCAUUGUUCUGGAAAAUGGAAAAUUUCUGUUUGUGAGCAAAUAACCAUGAUGUGAUUUUCCUUCAUCGGAGAAUUGGAAUUGAUAAAUUUGCGCUGUUGACUCCAGAGCGAGGACACCACAAGGCCCUUGAACAAGUCAUCCAGGAGAAAAUGUUUUCAGAGAAUGGAGACUUAUUCAAGUUACUUGGAGAAAUGAAGGCACGUGGCCAUUACAAGACACUCAGGCCUCUCAGGAUAGGCAAAUACACUGGUAGUUCACAAUCCAGUUCCUUCUUCCCCCUCAGUAGCCAGAGUUCGUGGAACCGUAUGUGAUACUUCAUCAUGAACGUGACGCAGAGACUGGGAAGACACUCAUUUCUAACUAAGCUUGCUAUUGUAGCUCCAUGCCAGAACUCAGUGGAAUCUGCAGGACAUUUUGGCUGGACUCCAUCAAUCUUUUUCACCCAGA